UGCAAGUCGAACGAUGAAGCCCAGCUUGCUGGGUGGAUUAGUGGCGAACGGGUGAGUAACACGUGAGCAACCUGCCCCUGACUCUGGGAUAAGCGCUGGAAACGGCGUCUAAUACUGGAUAUGUCCCGUCACCGCAUGGUGUGCGGGUGGAAAGAUUUUUCGGUUGGGGAUGGGCUCGCGGCCUAUCAGCUUGUUGGUGAGGUAAUGGCUCACCAAGGCGUCGACGGGUAGCCGGCCUGAGAGGGUGACCGGCCACACUGGGACUGAGACACGGCCCAGACUCCUACGGGAGGCAGCAGUGGGGAAUAUUGCACAAUGGGCGGAAGCCUGAUGCAGCAACGCCGCGUGAGGGAUGACGGCCUUCGGGUUGUAAACCUCUUUUAGCAGGGAAGAAGCGAGAGUGACGGUACCUGCAGAAAAAGCACCGGCUAACUACGUGCCAGCAGCCGCGGUAAUACGUAGGGUGCAAGCGUUAUCCGGAAUUAUUGGGCGUAAAGAGCUCGUAGGCGGUCUGUCGCGUCUGCUGUGAAAUCCCGAGGCUCAACCUCGGGCUUGCAGUGGGUACGGGCAGACUAGAGUGCGGUAGGGGAGAUUGGAAUUCCUGGUGUAGCGGUGGAAUGCGCAGAUAUCAGGAGGAACACCGAUGGCGAAGGCAGAUCUCUGGGCCGUAACUGACGCUGAGGAGCGAAAGGGUGGGGAGCAAACAGGCUUAGAUACCCUGGUAGUCCACCCCGUAAACGUUGGGAACUAGUUGUGGGGUCCUUUCCACGGAUUCCGUGACGCAGCUAACGCAUUAAGUUCCCCGCCUGGGGAGUACGGCCGCAAGGCUAAAACUCAAAGGAAUUGACGGGGACCCGCACAAGCGGCGGA
rnacentral:rRNA from 1 species